CAUUAAGAAGCUAAAGGACUAAGCGACAGCCUUUUAAGCUGUAGAUAGGUGACACCCAACCACCCUUAGUGG
rnacentral:tRNA from 1 species